UACAUGGAGUCCAAGCGUUAUCCGGAUUUACUGGGCGUAAAGCGUCCGUAGGCGUCCGGCCAAGUUCCUGUUGAAAUCCCGUAGCCCAACUGCGGAACUGACAGGAAAACUGGUCGGAUCGAGUAUGGCAGAGGCAAGGGGAAUUCCCGGUGUAGGGGUAAAAUCCGUUGAUAUCGGGAAGAACACCAGUGGCGAAGGCGCCUUGCUGGGCCAUUACUGACGCUCAGGGACGAAAGCGUGGGUAGCGAACGGG
rnacentral:misc_RNA from 1 species